CAGACGACAACAAGCCAAUCUAAGACGUCUCUGGGGCUCAGUGUCCCGGUGACGCUUGGAUCUGAGGACUCCGCAGUGAAGAGCAAGAACCGGAUAGAGGAGCAGCGAAAGGAUUAACAUUAGAGCUGGAGACAGAGGCAUUGCCCACAGGUAAGGCAACCAAACCGACUGCUUUGAUGGAUUUUAUUGUUUUGAUAUCUCUGGAGCUUGCUGUUGGAACUGGUGUGCCUCGGCAAUCCGAAAUCCCUUUAUUUCAUCAGUUUCAGUGUUGGUUCCUUUUGUUGCUUUGGUGUUAGAAGACAUAAAAUGGACAAAGAACCUGAGAAAACGUUUAUAGGAGAUCCUUGAGAAGAAAUUUGAACUUGAAUCAAACCUGCACAAACCAAGAAAGUGAUUGCAAAAGCACAAACAUGCAGGCUCAACGGGCAUUUGAUAACUGCUCUGGUCUUGAGUGCAUAAACAGGAAUUGAUGAGUUAAAACACAUUUAAUUUACAUGCUCUGCCCACUUGCAAGGUGUUUGCAUGCAUGACUUGAAAAUAAAGCAGAACAGAAAUA